rnacentral:rRNA from 1 species
GACGAACGCUGGCGGCGUGCUUAACACAUGCAAGUCGAACGGAAAGGCCCUGCUUUUGUGGGGUGCUCGAGUGGCGAACGGGUGAGUAACACGUGAGUAACCUGCCCUUGACUUUGGGAUAACUUCAGGAAACUGGGGCUAAUACCGGAUAGGAGCUCCUGCUGCAUGGUGGGGGUUGGAAAGUUUCGGCGGUUGGGGAUGGAAUCGGGGCUUAUCAGCUUGUUGGUGGGGUAGUUGCUUACCAAGGCUUUGACGGGUAGCCGGCCUGAGAGGGUGGCCGGCCACAUUGGGACUGAGAUACGGCCCAGACUCGUACGGGAGGCAGCAGUGGGGAAUAUUGCACAAUGGGCGGAAGCCUGAUGCAGCCACGCCGCGUGCGGGAUGACGGCCUUCGGGUUGUAAACCGCUUUCGCCUGUGACGAAGCGUGAGUGACGGUAAUGGGUAAAGAAGCACCGGCUAACUACGUG